rnacentral:lncRNA from 1 species
UGGUAUGAACGGCGAAUCCGAAGACCAAUUUAUAUUCGGGUCGGACUUUAAACGGCCGUGGAGUGAUUUCGGAUCCCUGAAAUCACUCGACCCAAGUCCGGACUGUUUCUGUCGCCGUUUUGACAGACAGACUAACGGAAGUGUGCGUUGGAACAAGUGGGCCUGCCGCUUUCGCCACCAAAUAGAUGCCACGCGGUUGCCCUGUUUUGGGAGUCCACGGGAUCUUAACGAAACGAAGAAGGGAAGCUCAAACAGAACGAAGCAAAAAGAGAGAAAUAUUACCGACCUUUUUCCUCGUUCUAGCUCCUGCGCCUCCUCCUCCUCCUCCUCCUCCUCCUCACCACCACCAACGCCCGAUUCCCAAGAGAAGGACAAGCAAACGGG